rnacentral:misc_RNA from 1 species
CGUUCUCUCCGUUGUGCCGCGGCUGGUGGAGGCGGUAAGUUCCUUCUUGCUCAGCCACAACCGACCCCAAAUUUAUUAUAAUAUAGGCUUAAAAAGUUCAUGACGCGAGAUAUUUAGGCAGAGGGCAAUUUCGUCCAAAAAAAAAAAACCUCAUUGGUGGAGCCUAUGUUUUGAUCGGUCUACCCGUCAACAGAAUAUUUGCCUUUCUCCCUCGCUCUUUGUGACUAUCUCACUUGGUGUUUAGCAGGAACUGAGUCGCAGCCGCUACCAAA